rnacentral:rRNA from 1 species
AGUUUGAUCAUGGCUCAGAUUGAACGCUGGCGGAAUGCUUUACACAUGCAAGUCGAGCGGCAGCGCGGGCAACCUGGCGGCGAGCGGCGAACGGGUGAGUAAUGCAUCGGAACAUGUCCAUGUCGUGGGGGAUAGCCCGGCGAAAGCCGGAUUAAUACCGCAUACGCCCGAGAGGGGAAAGCAGGGGACCGCAAGGCCUUGCGCGAUUGGGUUGGCCGAUGUCCGAUUAGCUUGUUGGUGAGGUAAAGGCUUACCAAGGCGAUGAUCGGUAGCUGGUCUGAGAGGAUGAUCAGCCACACUGGGACUGAGACACGGCCCAGACUCCUACGGGAGGCAGCAGUGGGGAAUUUUGGACAAUGGGGGCAACCCUGAUCCAGCCAUUCCGCGUGAGUGAAGAAGGCCUUCGGGUUGUAAAGCACUUUUGUUGGGGAAGAAACCGGCCGGGUUAAUACCCUGGUUGAAUGACGGUACCCAAAGAAUAAGCACCGGCUAACUUCGUG